CUUUGCGCUAAAUUCCACGUAGAAAACACCGGUUCUCGUUCGAUCACCAAAGUUAAGCUACGUUGGGCCCGGUUAGUACCUGCAUGGGUGACCGGCUGGGGGAUACCGAGUGCUGCUGACA
rnacentral:rRNA from 1 species